rnacentral:rRNA from 1 species
GUAGGGAAUAUUGGGCAAUGGAAGGAAUUCUGACCCAGCCAUGCCGCGUGCAGGAAUACAGUCCUAUGGACUUUAAACUGCUUUUAUUAUAGAGUAACCUGGGGGACGUGUCCCCCACUGCAAGUAUAUAAUGAAUAAGCAUCGGCUAACUCCGUGCCAGCAGCCGCGGUAAUACGGGGGAUGCAAGCGUUAUCCGGAUUUAUUGGGUUUAAAGGGUGCGCAGGCUGAUCGGUAAGUCAUGGGUGAAAAGUCACUGCUUAACAGUGAUCGUGCCUAUGAUACUGCCGGACUAGAGUUUAAGAGGUGUAACUGGAAUGUGAUGUGUAGCGGUGAAAUGCUUAGAUAUGUCACAGAACGCCAAUCGUGAAGACAGGUUACAAACUUAAUACUGACGCUCAUGCACGAAAGCGUGGGGAUCAAACAGGAUUAGAAACCCCAGUAGUCC